rnacentral:rRNA from 1 species
CCUACGGGAGGCAGCAGUGGGGGAUAUUGCACAAUGGGGGGAACCCUGAUGCAGCGACGCCGCGUGGGUGAAGAAGCGCCUCGGCGCGUAAAGCCCUGUCAGCAGGGGAGAAAAUGACGGUACCUGAAGAAGAAGCCCCGGCUAACUACGUGCCAGAAGCCGCGGUAAUACGUAGGGGGCCAGCGUUAUCCGGAUUUACUGGGUGUAAAGGGGGCGCAGACGGCGAUGCAAGCCAGGAGUGAAACGCCGGGGCCCAACCCCGGGACUGCACUUGGUAAUGCGUGGCUGGAGUGCAGGAGGGGCAGGCGGAAUGUCUGGGGUAGCGGUGAAAUGCUUAGAUAUCAGGAGGAACACCGGUGGCGAAGGCGGCCUGCUGGACUGCAACUGACGUUGAGGCACGAAAGCGUGGGGAGCAAACAGGAUUAGAUACCCUAGUAGUC